UACAGAGGUCUCAAGCGUUGUUCGGAUUCAUUGGGCGUAAAGGGUGCGUAGGCGGCGCGGUAAGUCGGGUGUGAAAUCUCGGAGCUUAACUCCGAAACUGCAUUCGAUACUGCCGUGCUUGAGGACUGGAGAGGAGACUGGAAUUUACGGUGUAGCGGUGAAAUGCGUAGAUAUCGUAAGGAAGACCAGUGGCGAAGGCGGGUCUCUGGACCGAUAUUGACGCUGAGGAGCGAAAGCCAGGGGAGCAAACGGG
rnacentral:rRNA from 1 species